rnacentral:rRNA from 1 species
AUCAGUGUGUGUGUUAGUGGAAGCGUCUGGAAAGGCGUGCGAUACAGGGUGACAGCCCCGUACACAAAAAUGCACAUAUUGUGAGCUCGAUGAGUAGGGCGGGACACGUGGUAUCCUGUCUGAAUAUGGGGGGACCAUCCUCCAAGGCUAAAUACUCCUGACUGACCGAUAGUGAACCAGUACCGUGAGGGAAAGGCGAAAAGAACCCCGGCGAGGGGAGUGAAAAAGAACCUGAAACCGUGUACGUACAAGCAGUGGGAGCACGCUUAGGCGUGUGACUGCGUACCUUUUGUAUAAUGGGUCAGCGACUUAUAUUCUGUAGCAAGGUUAACCGAAUAGGGGAGCCGAAGGGAAACCGAGUCUUAACUGGGCGUUAAGUUGCAGGGUAUAGACCCGAAACCCGGUGAUCUAGCCAUGGGCAGGUUGAAGGUUGGGUAACACUAACUGGAGGACCGAACCGACUAAUGUUGAAAAAUUAGCGGAUGACUUGUGGCUGGGGGUGAAAGGCCAAUCAAACCGGGAGAUAGCUGGUUCUCCCCGAAAGCUAUUUAGGUAGCGCCUCGUGAAUUCAUCUCCGGGGGUAGAGCACUGUUUCGGCAAGGGGGUCAUCCCGACUUACCAACCCGAUGCAAACUGCGAAUACCGGAGAAUGUUAUCACGGGAGACACACGGCGGGUGCUAACGUCCGUCGUGAAGAGGGAAACAACCCAGACCGCCAGCUAAGGUCCCAAAGUCAUGGUUAAGUGGGAAACGAUGUGGGAAGGCCCAGACAGCCAGGAUGUUGGCUUAGAAGCAGCCAUCAUUUAAAGAAAGCGUAAUAGCUCACUGGUCGAGUCGGCCUGCGCGGAAGAUGUAACGGGGCUAAACCAUGCACCGAAGCUGCGGCAGCGACACUAUGUGUUGUUGGGUAGGGGAGCGUUCUGUAAACCUGUGAAGGUGUACUGUGAGGUAUGCUGGAGGUAUCAGAAGUGCGAAUGCUGACAUAAGUAACGAUAAAGCGGGUGAAAAGCCCGCUCGCCGGAAGACCAAGGGUUCCUGUCCAACGUUAAUCGGGGCAGGGUGAGUCGACCCCUAAGGCGAGGCCGAAAGGCGUAGUCGAUGGGAAACAGGUUAAUAUUCCUGUACUUGGUGUUACUGCGAAGGGGGGACGGAGAAGGCUAUGUUGGCCGGGCGACGGUUGUCCCGGUUUAAGCGUGUAGGCUGGUUUUCCAGGCAAAUCCGGAAAACUAAGGCUGAGGCGUGAUGACGAGGCACUACGGUGCUGAAGCAACAAAUGCCCUGCUUCCAGGAAAAGCCUCUAAGCAUCAGGUAACAUCAAAUCGUACCCCAAACCGACACAGGUGGUCAGGUAGAGAAUACCAAGGCGCUUGAGAGAACUCGGGUGAAGGAACUAGGCAAAAUGGUGCCGUAACUUCGGGAGAAGGCACGCUGAUAUGUAGGUGAAGUCCCUCGCGGAUGGAGCUGAAAUCAGUCGAAGAUACCAGCUGGCUGCAACUGUUUAUUAAAAACACAGCACUGUGCAAACACGAAAGUGGACGUAUACGGUGUGACGCCUGCCCGGUGCCGGAAGGUUAAUUGAUGGGGUCAGCGCAAGCGAAGCUCUUGAUCGAAGCCCCGGUAAACGGCGGCCGUAACUAUAACGGUCCUAAGGUAGCGAAAUUCCUUGUCGGGUAAGUUCCGACCUGCACGAAUGGCGUAAUGAUGGCCAGGCUGUCUCCACCCGAGACUCAGUGAAAUUGAACUCGCUGUGAAGAUGCAGUGUACCCGCGGCAAGACGGAAAGACCCCGUGAACCUUUACUAUAGCUUGACACUGAACAUUGAGCCUUGAUGUGUAGGAUAGGUGGGAGGCUUUGAAGUGUGGACGCCAGUCUGCAUGGAGCCGACCUUGAAAUACCACCCUUUAAUGUUUGAUGUUCUAACGUUGACCCGUAAUCCGGGUUGCGGACAGUGUCUGGUGGGUAGUUUGACUGGGGCGGUCUCCUCCUAAAGAGUAACGGAGGAGCACGAAGGUUGGCUAAUCCUGGUCGGACAUCAGGAGGUUAGUGCAAUGGCAUAAGCCAGCUUGACUGCGAGCGUGACGGCGCGAGCAGGUGCGAAAGCAGGUCAUAGUGAUCCGGUGGUUCUGAAUGGAAGGGCCAUCGCUCAACGGAUAAAAGGUACUCCGGGGAUAACAGGCUGAUACCGCCCAAGAGUUCAUAUCGACGGCGGUGUUUGGCACCUCGAUGUCGGCUCAUCACAUCCUGGGGCUGAAGUAGGUCCCAAGGGUAUGGCUGUUCGCCAUUUAAAGUGGUACGCGAGCUGGGUUUAGAACGUCGUGAGACAGUUCGGUCCCUAUCUGCCGUGGGCGCUGGAGAACUGAGGGGGGCUGCUCCUAGUACGAGAGGACCGGAGUGGACGCAUCACUGGUGUUCGGGUUGUCAUGCCAAUGGCACUGCCCGGUAGCUAAAUGCGGAAGAGAUAAGUGCUGAAAGCAUCUAAGCACGAAACUUGCCCCGAGAUGAGUUCUCCCUGACUCCUUGAGAGUCCUGAAGGAACGUUGAAGACGACGACGUUGAUAGGCCGGGUGUGUAAGCGCAGCGAUGCGUUGAGCUAACCGGUACUAAUGAACCGUGAGGCUUAACCUUACAACGCCGAAGGUGUUU